AAUGAACGUUGGCGGCAUGGAUUAGGCAUGCAAGUCGAGCGAGAAGCUUAAGUUUGACGCUUCGGUUGAGUUUCUUAAGUGGAAAGCGGCGAAAGGGUGAGUAACGCGUAGUUAUCUGCCCCAGGGUCUGGAAUAGCCUCGGGAAACUGAGGGUAAUGCCAGAUAAUAUCUCCGGAUCAAAGGUGUGAUUCCGCCCUGGGAGGAGACUGCGUACUACUAGCUUGUUGGUGGGGUAAUGGCCUACCAAGGCUACGAUGGUUAGCGGGCGUGAGAGCGUGGCCCGUCACACUGGGACUGAGACACUGCCCAGACACCUACGGGUGGCUGCAGUCGAGAAUCUUCGGCAAUGGGCGAAAGCCUGACCGAGCGAUGCCGCGUGCGGGAUGAAGGCCCUCGGGUUGUAAACCGCUGUCAGUUGGGAGGAAGGCUUCGUGAAGAGCGAAGCCUGACCUAUCUUCAGAGGAAGUACGGGCUAAGUUCGUG
rnacentral:rRNA from 1 species